CCUACGGGUGGCAGCAGUGGGGAAUAUUGCACAAUGGGGGAAACCCUGAUGCAGCGACGCCGCGUGAGUGAAGAAGUAUUUCGGUAUGUAAAGCUCUAUCAGCAGGGAAGAAAAUGACGGUACCUGAUUAAGAAGCCCCGGCUAACUACGUGCCAGCAGCCGCGGUAAUAAGUAGGGGGCAAGCGUUAUCCGGAUUUACUGGGUGGAAAGGGAGCGUAGACGGCAGAACAAGUCUGGAGUGAAAUGCCGGGGCUUAACCCCGGAACUGCUUUGGAAACUGGGAAGCUAGAGUGCAGGAGAGGUAAGUGGAAUUCCUGGUGUAGCGGUGAAAUGCGUAGAUAUCAGGAGGAACACCAGUGGCGAAGGCGGCUUACUGGACUGUAACUGACGUUGAGGCUCGAAAGCGUGGGGAGCAAACAGGAUUAGAUACCCGGGUAGUC
rnacentral:rRNA from 1 species